ACGUUUCGAAAGGAACGCUAAUACCGCAUACGUCCUACGGGAGAAAGCAGGGGACCUUCGGGCCUUGCGCUAUCAGAUGAGCCUAGGUCGGAUUAGCUAGUUGGUGAGGUAAUGGCUCACCAAGGCGACGAUCCGUAACUGGUCUGAGAGGAUGAUCAGUCACACUGGAACUGAGACACGGUCCAGACUCCUACGGGAGGCAGCAGUGGGGAAUAUUGGACAAUGGGCGAAAGCCUGAUCCAGCCAUGCCGCGUGUGUGAAGAAGGUCUUCGGAUUGUAAAGCACUUUAAGUUGGGAGGAAGGGUUGUAGAUUAAUACUCUGCGAUUUUGACGUUACCGACAGAAUAAGCACCGGCUAACUCUGUGCCAGCAGCCGCGGUAAUACAGAGGGUGCAAGCGUUAAUCGGAAUUACUGGGCGUAA
rnacentral:rRNA from 1 species